UACGUAGGGACCAAGCGUUGUUCGGAUUUACUGGGCGUAAAGGGCGCGUAGGCGGCUUGACAAGUCACUUGUGAAAUCUCCGGGCUUAACUCGGAACUGCCAAGUGAAACUGUCAUGCUAGAGUGCAGAAGGGGCAACUGGAAUUCUCGGUGUAGCGGUGAAAUGCGUAGAUAUCGAGAGGAACACCUGCGGCGAAGGCGGGUUGCUGGGCUGACACUGACGCUGAAGCGCGAAAGCUAGGGGAGCGAACGGG
rnacentral:rRNA from 1 species